GCAGAGAUCAUCCACAGUAGCGCCAGCUUCCUAGCCCUCCAUUUCGCCGUGGAUUUCUUCAGGUUAAUGAGAUCUGAUUCUUCCCCCAGCGCAAGGCCUAACCUUCGUGGUUAUGUCAACAGUGCUCUGGCAUGGUUGAUAAGUGAUAACCAACAGGUUGUGGGUUUGUGGUGUUGCGAUUGCAGGGUUUGGAUCAUUUUUAAUCUAAAGAUGGACUGUCAAGUUGAGUCUACCCUCAGGCAAUAAGAUAUAUCAUCAUAUCUUUUCGAAAGAUUGGACUUGGGUUCUUUGUCAAUGCUUCCCAUUAAAGAAAAUCCAAAAAAAUCAGAAGAGCGGCCUUUUAUAUAAAUUUAUAAAUAAUUUGUUAUUGAAUAGUAAUGAAUUAAGAUUACAGAUUGUCUAGGAGUCUAGUACUAUCCCAGCAGUAUGCAUGAAAAUGCAUAACUGAUAAAAAAAAUUCCUCAGCUCAACCCGCACACACCUCUGGAUAUCGUUUCUUUAUCUUACGAUAUCACAUAUCUGAGUUGUCUAAUAUUUAUACGUACGUCGUGUCUAAAGUACAUCACUUCGUGUUUCUAGCCCCAAUUUAUUAUUGAAUUCGGUGCUGAACUGAUUGAAAGCUGAAAAUAAUUCAACUGGGGGAAUGGAUCCUGUGCCUGUAUCAGCUGAUUUUUGUUAUUGAGAUCCAUGCAUGGCGGAAAUUUAUCAAGAAAUCCUUGUGGCCCUCUCCUCUAUGGCACAAUCUCAAUUCAUAUCCACACCAAAAUCUUUGAACCACAUGCACCGUUGGCAAUAGUAGGGACAAAUAGGAACGGUAUGCAUGCCAUCACUACACCAGAAAAGUUUUUCCCUGACGGACAAAUCCGUCACGGAAAGGUCCGAAAACCGUCACGGAUGAUCUUCUGUGACGGUUACCGUCACGGAUGAUACGUCAGGGGCUGACUGACGGGGAAAAUAGGCUUUCCCUGACGGAAAACCGUCAGGAAUCAUUCCGUGAUGCUUUCAGCCGUCACAGAAGAUUUUUCCUGUCAGUGUUUUGAAAACCAUCAGAAAAAGGUUUCCUUGUCGGUUGACGUAUCGUCAGGGAAAGUUUAAACUUUUCCCGUCGGUCUUUCACCAUUAGGAGAGGGUUUUCCCGUCGGCUUUUGACUGUCAGGGAACCCAAACCUUCUCUAUCGGUUGCCUACCGUCAGGGUUGCCAAUUUAUUCCCGUCAUGCUACAUUGCCGACAUGGUUGACCUUCCGUAACGGUUAUACAGUACAAUGAAUAUUUUUUUUCAUAUAUAGGUAAGCUCAUGUAAUUAUCCAUCUACACAUACAGGAGAUAAGUUUAACAGUGAUCUGAUUUAAAGGUGUUCAUACAUCAAGUUGGUGCUGGAAUGCUUCUUCACCCAGCACACAAGUUACUACACUGCUGUUGUUACAUACAUACAGUUCACAGCACUAAGUUACAUACCAGCAGACCCCAGUUGCAAUGUCAACUAAUGUCAGCACUAAGGUUCUUGGAUGGCAAAAUGCACAGCAGCACAGUACAGCAGCUCUAAAGUGGCAAUAGGCAGCUGCUGGAUACAAACCAAAAUGUUUCAACCACAGAAAAUACUACACAAAAGACGUUUCUCUUCAAACUUGAGAGUUUCUACCAUACUGCAUGGGACCAUGAACAAAAGAUGGCAGCCAUCACCAAACAUACCAGGCAACUCAAUGACCAUCACUGUUAUUGUCCAAGUUGGCUGAAGCAUUAGAGGAUCCAUCUCCAGUCCCUCUCUAUAUCCACAGCAAGAUAAGAAAGAACAUUCAGGCAUAUUUGAAUAUUUAGUUAACAAGAAAGCUAUUUGAAUAGUCAGGCUCAAUUAUAUAUCUUGAAAAACAAUCUGAUCCAUGACAAUCUUACCAUGUCAUUUUCUUCCUCCUCAAGCAUGUCAGAUGGUAUCUCUAUCUGUACCUUUUGAGCAAUGAGCUGCAUGCAUAGAAGUACCAACAUCAUGGACUUUUUAGACCUUCAGUUGCAGAUACACAAUACAAAUAGAAUUGUACCUCAACUACGCGAUCAGUUCGUUUCACAUGACGAGUCAAAGCUGCAUUUUGUGAGUCAAGGCUGCAUUUUGUUGUGUUAAGCGUCGGUUGUUUUCAACUUGCUCCUCAUACCUUCUGAACAGAUUUUGGAAUGACCUUGAGUUUGAUGGCCUUGUCUCACUUGCCUUAGCAGCAUCAAUAAUUGAAGCCUUCUUGACAGCACCAUUUCCUAUUGCAAGGCGACCAUGGGACAAGCCACCACCAAUGUCAUAUGCAAUUCGCCCAUCAAAAGGUUGCUCUUGCCAAUUAUCUGGAUACUUUUCUUGGAGUGCAUCGUUGUAGUCAUUCUAGAAAUAACAAAAGUUAGUAGUCACAAACUAACAAGUAUACACAGAGAUGGAAACACACUUGACCUCGAAAGUAAGAAGAAUUGAACUACUUACAACUAGCUGCUGUGCCCGUUGGCUAGGAAUUGGACCCGCGUUGCCACUGCUAUCACAAUUUUUAACACCAGAUUUCAUGCAGCACUUAUAAGAUAAUGGGCUAAUGGAGUGUGAGCAAGAAGCUUACAAGAUAUUGCUGAGUCUCAACUAAUGGCCUGGAGCCACCCCUGUUUUGAGCACCGUCCGGAUUUUUUUUGCGACUUUCUUGCCUGAUCUUUCUUUUCUUCAAAUAGUCAUUAGAGCACUAGUACUUACAAAUGGACUCCCAGGCUGCUUCAGUGAUCCAGUCAGGCUUGCAACGCAUGUAUUGUUGAAAAUUAAGCAAUUUGGCACAUGCCAACUCAUCA